GCCCGCCUAGCUCAAUCGGAUAGAGCGUCAGACUCUUACUGACAAGGCGGAAUCUGAAGGCUGCGAGUUCGACCCUCGCGGUGGGCU
rnacentral:tRNA from 2 species